CACUCCUGCGGGAGGCAGCAGUGGGGAAUAUUGGACAAUGGGCGAAAGCCUGAUCCAGCAAUGCCGCGUGGGUGAUGAAGGCCUUAGGGUUGUAAAGCUCUUUUACCCGGGAUGAUAAUGACAGUACCGGGAGAAUAAGCCCCGGCUAACUCCGUGCCAGCAGCCGCGGUAAUACGGAGGGGGCUAGCGUUGUUCGGAAUUACUGGGCGUAAAGCGCGCGUAGGCGGCUUUGUAAGUUAGAGGUGAAAGCCCGGAGCUCAACUUCGGAAUUGCCUUUAAGACUGCAUCGCUAGAAUCGUGGAGAGGUGAGUGGAAUUCCGAGUGUAGAGGUGAAAUUCGUAGAUAUUCGGAAGAACACCAGUGGCGAAGGCGACUCACUGGACACGUAUUGACGCUGAGGUGCGAAAGCGUGGGGAGCAAACAGGAUUAGAUACCCCUGUAGUCCCAUGAU
rnacentral:rRNA from 1 species